AUGUUCCUAGUUGGGGGUUCACAUGCAUUUAGUGUCAUAGAAGAAGUGGGGUUCAAAAAAAUGAUUGGUGCUGCUUAUCCUCAGUUUAAGAUUGUUAGUCGGUACACAAUUAAAAGGGAUAUCAUGGCAAUGUUUGAAAGAGAGAGGACUGGAUUGAGAGAAACUAUCAGCAAUAGCCCUGGUAGAGUUAGCUUCACCACGGACAAUUGGAAAUCAGAUGUGACAAAGUUUAGUUAUAUUUGUAUUACUUGUCAUUAUGUUGAUGAUGCUUGGAGACUGAACAAAAGGAUAAUAUGGUUUAAAAAGUUGAAUCCACCUUAUGAUGGGGCUACAAUUGCUGAUGAAGUCCAUUUAUGUUUUCGUGAGUGGAAGGUUGAUACCAAAAUAAUGUGCAUGACUCUUGAUAAUGUUGCAUACAAUGAUUCGAUGAUCAACACUUUGAGAACUACAUUGCUGCCUAAAGGUGUGUUACCAUUGUUUGGAACUUUCUUUCAAGUCCAAUGUUGUGCACACAUUUUAAAUCUGAUUGUCCAAGCUGGUUUGAAACUUAUUGAUAAAUCUGUUGACAAGAUUAGAGAGGGCAUUCAAUAUAUCAAAAUAUCUAGCAAUCGUAUUCAAAAGUUCUAUGAAACUGCCAAGAACAUUUACCAUUUGAAUGAAGAUAAAAGGUUGAGAGUAGAUAUGCCCGUUCGCUGGAAUUCAACAUACACAAUGCUUGAGAAUGCUUUGUAUUUCAAGGAUGCAUUACUGUAG
rnacentral:rRNA from 1 species